AAACUAUGAGCACUGUGCUGCUGCCAGAGAGCGGAGAAACUGAUCAUCAGAAGGAAUAUUUCCAGCUCUGCUCUGACUCAGAGUGGUUUGCAUGGAGUUACUAUUUGUACAAUAAAACUGAAAUCCAUCCAUUAUCUUCCACUUAUACCAAAGUUGGGCAGCAGCUUGAUCAGGAAGACCGAAGUGUCCCAAGGAGUACUGACCUUUCCGAGCCUGCAUGAGGACCACUUGUUAAGAGCCACUCACCUGAGUUCCAUGUGCCUACCUUUUACCUCCAACAAACCUGUAAAUAUCUACUCACCUGUAAAUACUUACCUCUGGAUUUGAACCAACUCCUCCACGCCAAA